GACGAACGCUGGCGGCGUGCUUAACACAUGCAAGUCGAACGGAAAGGCCCUGCUUUUGUGGGGUGCUCGAGUGGCGAACGGGUGAGUAACACGUGAGUAACCUGCCCUUGACUUUGGGAUAACUUCAGGAAACUGGGGCUAAUACCGGAUAGGAGCUCCUGCUGCAUGGUGGGGGUUGGACAGUUUCGGCGGGUGGGGAUGGACUCGCGGCUUAUCAGCUUGUUGGUGGGGUAGUGGCUUACAAAGGCUUUGACGGGUGGCCGGCCUGAGAGGGUGACCGGCCACAUUGGGACUGAGAUACGGCCCAGACUCCUACGGGAGGCAGCAGUGGGGAAUAUUGCACAAUGGGCGGAAGCCUGAUGCAGCAACGCCGCGUGCGGGAUGACGGCCUUCGGGUUGUAAACCGCUUUCGCCUGUGACGAAGCGUGAGUGACGGUAAUGGGUAAAGAAGCACCGGCUAACUACGUG
rnacentral:rRNA from 1 species